AGUGAACGCUGGCGGUAGGCCUAACACAUGCAAGUCGAACGGCAGCACAGUAAGAGCUUGCUCUUACGGGUGGCGAGUGGCGGACGGGUGAGGAAUACAUCGGAAUCUACUUUUUCGUGGGGGAUAACGUAGGGAAACUUACGCUAAUACCGCAUACGACCUACGGGUGAAAGCAGGGGAUCUUCGGACCUUGCGCGAUUGAAUGAGCCGAUGUCGGAUUAGCUAGUUGGCGGGGUAAAGGCCCACCAAGGCGACGAGCCGUAGCUGGCCUGAGAGGAUGAUCAGCAGCACUGGAAAUAGGACGCGGUCCAGAUCCGGACGGGAGGCAGCGGUGGGAAUUAUAGGACAAGGGGCGGAAGCCUGAACCAGCCAUACCGGGGGGGUGAAGAAGGCCUUCGGGUUGUAAAGCCUUUUGGUUGGGAAAGAAAAGAGGCAGGUUAAUACCCCGCUGUUUUGCAGGUACCCAAGAAAAAAGCACGGCCUACCUUGGG
rnacentral:rRNA from 1 species